GCGGUUACUACCACUAAACGUGAACAUGGCCGAAGGGGAAACGAGCCAAGACAUACCAUUUUCAUCCUGAAUCGGAGGGAGAUUAUUUUUCUUUACUCUCAUUCACAGCCUAUUGGUUUGAUAUGCAAUGCGACGGUGGCGUUGGCAAAGAAAGGCAAUGGUGGAGCGGUAUUUUAGAACAGUACACGGGAGCUACGAGAGGGAUUUCCCGACAAAAGCGCCACAAAAGUGCGGGAUUUGAAAGCACAGCUGGCAGCACAGCAGGCAGUCUUCAACAAACCCAAGACCCAGGGUGAUAUAAGGCCGCAAACUCAGAAGAUGUGCCCUGAACCUGACAGCUCUUUCUGGAUCAACUUAUUUGUGCGAGUCUGCUUCCUCGCAAAUGGAAAUCAUCAAGUCCAAGCAUAGAUCAGCAAUGACUGAUGACCACCUUGCAACCAGCUCCUACUCUCCUGAAGCUAACCUCCUCCUCCUCCCAGUGCCACGUCUCCCACUCAGAGUGAAAGUAGCAGUUCCUCCUGAAGGUCAGAGAUUGCAGCUUCUGAGGGCCUCUUCAAAAGAAGAUGUAGUUGAUGAAGGCGUUCUGGAGCAGGACCAGAAAGACCACGACCAAGCAGCCUUGAGAUCUUAGGCAGCGUCUCCCUCAGGUCCCUCUCUAUCUCCCCACACAUCCACCAACCACUGGAACACAUCUCCAAAGUUCUGCUGGACCAGCUCAGCUUCCCCUCAGAAGAAGUGCUGCCACCUGCCAGAUGAAGGAGCCUUUUGAGAGGCAGCUGGCAUCGUGAUUGGACUGUACUUUGGUCUGUUCCAAUCCAGCUUCAGCUCCAGAGACGGCAGGCGGGACGAGUCAACGGAGGCCUGGUGGAUGAAGGCAUGCAGCUGAGUACAAUCCAGAAAACAACAGAGGAGGAGUGCAGCAGCCCAGAGCCAGAACAACCAGAGUAGCAUGACCAAAGAACUACAGACUCUUCACAACCUGCUCAAACUCUUGGUACAGGACCUCACCACACGGGUCAAGAAGGUUUCCAUCUCAUUUCUACUCUGAAGCUCACCUUCUCCUGCUCAAACUGCUGACAAAUGUUUCUGCUGCUCUAAAGUCUGGUCUCCAGAACUUCCUAAAAACUCUCAAAGUCUCUUCUGCUGCAGGUUGCUUUGUAGAACUGUUCCAGAAAACCUCACUAAACCACAUGGAGGGGCCUCAAGAUAGUCGUCCAAAUGAAACCGUACAAAAACCAAACUAGCACAACCCAAACGCUAAAGUCUCCUGCAGCCUACCAGAGAACCUCUGAGAACAGAGAAUCAGGACAGGAACUCUUACCUUCUGGACAACCAACGCUGGUUCACAAACAAUACAGAAUGUGUCUGACCAAAAACCUCUGAAGACUCACUACAGCCAAGAUAAAGACACAACUCAGCUGCACCAAAUCCACUAAUCACUGCACACAUUAGCACCAUGUGCUAACUGUGGCUAAAGAACCACAUUUACCAAGACAACUAUCCAGUACAAAGCCCUAAACACACCAAGAAACACAUUAAAGACGAUUUUACUGCUGGAAGCUGCAAGCCAACGCCUAAAGAACAAACUAAAGCAACGGAGCCAAACCCGGUUCAGUGGUGAAGAGAAGCAGAGGAAAUGUUUGUCUGCAGCUAAAUAAAGCAGGAAGACACUGAGCUGCUCAGGUGUUCCUGAUAACACCAAGCAGCCACC